rnacentral:rRNA from 1 species
UACAGAGGGUGCAAGCGUUGUUCGGAAUUAUUGGGCGUAAAGGGUGCGUAGGCGGUUUGGUAAGUCUUGUGUGAAAUCUCCAGGCUCAACUUGGAGUCUGCACGAGAAACUGCCGGGCUUGAGUGUGGGAGAGGUGAGUGGAAUUCCUGGUGUAGCGGUGAAAUGCGUAGAGAUCGGAAAGAACACCAACGGCGAAAGCACUCUGCUGGGCCGACACUGACACUGAGAGACGAAAGCUAGGGGAGCGAAUGGG